rnacentral:rRNA from 1 species
GAUGAACGCUGGCGGCGUGCCUAAUACAUGCAAGUCGAGCGAACGGACGAGAAGCUUGCUUUUCUGAUGUUAGCGGCGGACGGGUGAGUAACACGUGGAUAACCUACCUAUAAGACUGGGAUAACUUCGGGAAACCGGAGCUAAUACCGGAUAAUAUUUUGAACCGCAUGGUUCAAAAGUGAAAGACGGUCUUGCUGUCACUUAUAGAUGGAUCCGCGCUGCAUUAGCUAGUUGGUAAGGUAACGGCUUACCAAGGCAACGAUGCAUAGCCGACCUGAGAGGAUGAUCGGCCACACUGGAACUGAGACACGGUCCAGACUCCUACGGGAGGCAGCAGUAGGGAAUCUUCCGCAAUGGGCGAAAGCCUGACGGAGCAACGCCGCGUGAGUGAUGAAGGUCUUCGGAUCGUAAAACUCUGUUAUUAGGGAAGAACAGAUGUGUAAGUAACUGUGCACAUCUUGACGGUACCUAAUCAGAAAGCCACGGCUAACUACGUG